rnacentral:rRNA from 1 species
GACGAACGCUGGCGGCGUGCCUAACACAUGCAAGUGGAGCGACGAACCAGGGCUUGCCCUGGAGCAAAGCCGCGAACGGGUGAGUAACACGUGAGUAACCUGCCCCGAAGAUUGGGACAACCCGAGGAAACUCGGGCUAAUACCGAAUGAAUUCCCUGGACUCAAGUCCAGUGAGAAAAGGAAGCUUCGGCCUCCGCUUCGGGAGGGGCUCGCGGCCCAUUAGCUAGUUGGUGAGGUAACGGCUCACAAAGGCAACGAUGGGUAGCUGGUCUGAGAGGACGAUCAGCCACACUGGGACUGAGACACGGCCCAGACUCCUACGGGAGGCAGCAGUGGGGAAUCUUGCGCAAUGCGCGAAAGCGUGACGCAGCAACGCCGCGUGGGGGAAGAAGGCCUUCGGGUUGUAAACCCCUUUCAGGAGGGACGAAGGUGCGACUGUGAAUAGCAGUUCGUACUGACGGUACCUCCAGAAGAAGCCCCGGCUAACUACGUGCCAGCCGCCGCCGUAAUAC